UGUUCUAAAAGAUUAAAAAUGCAGUAAAGCAGCCUUAAUUAUAGAUUUGAAAAAUCAUUUUUCCCAGGUAACAAAGUAUACCCCAGAUUGACAAUUUAUCAGAAAUCUUGCUUUAUAAGAUCUCUAUUCUAAUAGUAUAGAAUUUAUUUAUUUAUUUUUGGUCUGGAAAAAACUGAAAGGAGAUUCCUCUGAAAUUAGAAGUUGAAAAUUUUUUUGCUUCAGAGAUGGUAGCAGCAGUUUAAAGAAUAAAAAACUUUUGGGCUGGGAUGGAAUUCAGUGGUGGAGUGCUUACCUAGCAUGUACACAGUCCUGGAUUCAAUCCCCAGUACCGGGAAGGAAAGAAAAAAAGAAAAUAAGAGAACUUCAAGUUGGUUGGCUGGUUGGUUCUAAUUUCUCCUAGUAAUUGUUAAAAUUCUGGAUAAGAAAUGGAAUAGACAGUUUUCUAUGACUUUAAAAUUAUUUUUCUUUAAAAGAGAUGGCUUCUGAACAGAACAGAAUUGAAAAGGUCAUCAAAAAUAUUAUUAUGUCAGAGGUUAUCUCUUCCUCUCUUUUGAAGUGCUAGGCAUUGAACCCAGGACCUAACAUUGCUAAACUAGUAUUCUACCAUUGACCUAUACCCCAGGUCCCGUUAUAAAUUUCUUGAGGAUAUUCCCAAGCAGUUGAUAAUUCCCAAGAAGAUGACAAAUGAAAAUGCAUAUAUGUAAAUUCAUGAUGUGAUAUAAAAAUAGUAGACUAGAUUCCCAUGUUUAUUCUAUAUGUGGGCAAAACUACAUGCAAAGCCAAAUUAUAAUGAAAACAUCUAUAACUUUAUAGCAGAAGCAAAGGAAACAGGAGAUCUUAAGGUGUUUCUUGUUUAAAAUCAGCUUGUAGUCCACUUCUUCCCUCAGGAAUAGCUCCCUCAAGGACAAAUAAAAGUUACCUGUUCCUCAGUUCCAGAUAGGAGAGAUGCACUGCUAAACUGGGCUAAUAUUUUCUUUCCUGAAAAUACAUUAGUUGGUAGAACUGUUCCUACAUAAUUUCCAAAUUCCUUAGCCUUCAAUUUUCUUACUAUUGCUUAGAAUAGUUACCUAUUUCUUUUUCUUUUCUUUCGGUACCAGGGGUUGAACUCAGGGGCACUCAACCACUGAAUCACAUCCCCAGCCCUUUUUGUAUUUUAUUUAGAGACAGGAUGUCUCACUGAGUUGCUUAGGUUCACGCUACAUUGCUGAGGCUGAUUUUGAACUCAAGAUCCUCCUGCCUCAACCUCCCGAGCUGAGAUUAUAGCGCUCCUUUUUUCCAUGAUUUUCACUUUGAAGUCUACUUUAUUACAUUAUUUGUGAAAUUCCUGUAGAGAGUCUGGGCUCCAUAGAGGAAAGCAUCACCAUCGUUGGUAAGGCAGCCAUCUACCUGGCCACUGGCAUUGAGGAGGAGACCAAGAGCAGAGGAAGGGAAACGAGUGAAGGUGUUAUUUCAGCUGUACAGAUGAGAGAAUUUGGCAUGAACUGAAGUGGUGUAUAUGGACACUGAGCGAAGUUUGUGAAAACAAAACAUAUUUUAAAAUAGAACUGUCAAGACUUAUUCAUGCACUGAUGUGAGAGCUAAUAACAGAAGCUUACAAAUGAAGAGAUGGGAAUAAAAUGCAGAGAUCCUGUAAAAAGAGGAUGGGACCAGUCCUCUAUCAAAAUGAAAAACAAACAAAAAGAAAAAAGGAAGCAAGUGUGGAAAAAGAUAACAACAGAAGGACAGAAAAACCAAAGGGGGUUAAUGAAAGAAAAUUUUGGUGGAAAAUGGGGGGAGAACAAACAAGAUGGAGAGUUGGAGGAAUAUGGAGUUAUCUUUUUAAAAACUGCACUCCCCCCCCCCCCCCCAGUACUGGGGACUAAAUUCAGCUGUGUUCUACCACUGAACUACCCAUCCAGUCCUUUUUAUUUUGGACAGGUUCUCACUAAGUUGAAGGUUGGCCUCAAACUUGCAAUCCUGCCUCAGCCUCCCAAAUUGCUGGGAUAACAGGCAUGUGACACAUGCCCAGCUAAAGGAUAAUAUCUUUUAAAUUGCAUGGUGAUACAUGUUUAUUGAGGAGAAUUGAAAACUUAAAAGUUUAAAUCACCUAUAGUUCUACUAUUCAAAGUAAAUAAUGCUGAACAACUUUCCACGUAUAGUAUAGGACAUUUUAAAAACAAAAUUGUUUUAACCUCUAAUGUUCUUCUGUGCUUUGUUGUUUUUUAUAGGCCAACCUUUCCUUUUUAAACACAUUUUUCUUUUCCUUUGUUAUUAUCUGAUGAAGAUAUUAUAUAGCACUCACAAUGAGGAUUAAGUCUGACUCUGCAAAUUCAAUCCAGAUUAUUAUCUUCCCUCCAGAAAAAAAAAAAAAAAGGGAGAAGGCAAAAACACAUAAGUCUAAAGGUCAGACUUCACCUGUAUGUGGAAACUUUGUGAAUAAAGAUCACUGUAUUAUCUUUAACAGAGUGCAUCUUAAAAGUAGAUUUUCUCAAAUUGCUCAUGGGUGCAAAGAAAAUAAAUAUUGUUAAGUGUUGCUAUCAGUAA